rnacentral:rRNA from 1 species
UUAGCAUAUCAAUAAGCGGAGGAAAAGAAACCAACAGGGAUUACCUCAGUAACGGCGAGUGAAGCGGUAAUAGCUCAAAUUUGAAAUCUGGCUUCGGUCCGAGUUGUAAUUUGUAGAAGAUGCUUCGGGUGUGGCUCCGGUCUAAGUUCCUUGGAACAGGACGUCAUAGAGGGUGAGAAUCCCGUAUGUGACUGGGUGCCUUCGCCUAUGUGAAGCUCUUUCGACGAGUCGAGUUGUUUGGGAAUGCAGCUCAAAAUGGGUGGUAUAUUUCAUCUAAAGCUAAAUAUUGGCCAGAGACCGAUAGCGCACAAGUAGAGUGAUCGAAAGAUGAAAAGCACUUUGGAAAGAGAGUUAAACAGUACGUGAAAUUGUUGAAAGGGAAGCGUUUGCAACCAGACUUGCACGUUGCCGAUCAUCCGGUGUUCUCACCGGUGCACUCGGUUUCGUUCAGGCCAGCAUCGGUUUAGGUGGUUGGAUAAAGGCCUUGGGAAUGUAGCUUCUUUCGGGGAGUGUUAUAGCCCUCGGUGCAAUGCAGCCUACCUGGACCGAGGACCGCGCUUCGGCUAGGAUGCUGGCGUAAUGGUUGUAAACGACCCGUCUUGAAACACGGACCAAGGAGUCUAACAUCUAUGCGAGUAUUUGGGUGUUAAACCCAUAUGCGUAAUUAACGUGAACGGAGGUAAGAGCCCUUAAGGGUGCAUUAUCGACCGGUCCUGAUGUCUUCGGAAGGAUCUGAGUAAGAGCAUAGCUGUUGGGACCCGAAAGAUGGUGAACUAUGCCUGAAUAGGGUGAAGCCAGAGGAAACUCUGGUGGAGGCUCGCAGCGGUUCUGACGUGCAAAUCGAUCGUCAAAUUUGGGUAUAGGGGCGAAAGACUAAUCGAACCAUCUAGUAGCUGGUUCCUGCCGAGUCUCCCUC